CUUUUCUGAUGUGUGUUGACCCUUGGAGACAACUUGACUGUCUGAGGUAGUAUCAGCAGAGAGGCAACAGCAGCAGCUAUUUUGACCUCUUGUGUUGCAGCUCUACCUCUGGGUUGUUGAAUCUUAUUACAACUGUAACAUGUUGUCUCCAUCUUGAUUCAGAGGUUCGAGAUGAGGUUGUUUUCUGAUAUACCACAACUUCAACUAAAUUAACAGGCCAAUCCCACAUGUAAAAGACAUGCCUUAGAGUCAGGCUCAGGUCGUACUUGAUGGAGAAAUCAAGUGUCCGAAUCCAGGCCAAGCAGACCGCUUCUGAAUAAUCUCCAUAUCUUUUGGGCAAAAGACUGCUGCAUUUCCUGCCAUUAUGCUCAAUGAAGGAAACCAUUUCUGGGUCAUCCAC